CUCUCCUUAGGCUGGGAGGGGCCAAGCCGCUGGCCCGUGAGCCUGGGGCAGCUCUGGACUGUGCUUGCUGUCCUUGAGGAGAAUGCAGCCAGCCCAGGGCAAAUCAGAGCCAGGCAGGUGAGGAAGUUACUAAGAAGACUUUUUGACAUGUACAAGUUUGGAUCUAAGGAAUAAAGUGAAGGAAGAAGACCUCCUUGAGAAGAAAACGGAACAUGGCCCUAACAGUGGGCAGCAUGAAACUGAGGAACACAGCAGGAAGCUGAUUUAGGCAAACUCAGCAGGAAGUGUUCCCUGUGAACCCAUGAGACUUCAUCCCUGCGUUGGUCUGGCUGGCUUUCCCUGUGAGAUACAGGUUCCUCCUGAAGAGCUGAAGCUCCAUUCCAGCUCUAGACUUCUCCUUGCUUUCAGACUUCAAGAUGAGAAGCAUUUUUCCAGUCCACAAGUGUUAGAGGACACUGCCGAUGAUGUGUGUUUUGCCCAGGCUGGACUCAGCUUCUUUGUCUCGGUAAAGCCUGGCGAAGAGGCAGUGCUGUGCCAGGAAAUAGCACCCAGGCAGGACUCCAGGGUGGGGACCGCUAAUCUGGCUUUGCCACAAUUUUGAAAGAAGAGUCAUGCUUCAAUUAAUAACAGACAACGGAGUCAAUAUGAAGGGAGCAGAGACAAUGAUGUGAUCAAAUGCCAAGAAAUGACUGACAGCAGAAAAAAUAUCAUGUGAGCCAAAGCAAUUUCACUUGACUUCUAACUUUAUUCAUCCAACGAAUAACAUUUCAUCACAGUUUUAUCAAUGGAAUGCAAUUCCACCCAGAUCAUUCUGUCAACGACAAGAAACAGCAUCAAAUCAUUCUGUCCACACAAAUAAAUCAAUUGUUGAUUAUUAUUUUCUUCUAUUUGGGAUACAAGGAGGACCAAAUAUUUCGAGUAAAACAAAGGAAAGGAAAGCAGAAAAACUUUUUGUUGUUGUUGACAAAUCCAGCUGGGUAAAUGCAAUUUAUGUCUUUUGAAAAAAUGCAUCCUGAUGUGAGGAGGGAUAAACUGUUUUUAAACUCGAACCAGGGACAAACUGUAAUAAUAAACACACUGGAAGAAAAUGCAACCAUUUAUUGGUUCUUGCAGAUAAAAUAGCAUUUCCAGUUUUUUUUUUUUUGUUUUUUUUUUUUGCUGUUGCUUAUGUAGUUCUCCUUACUGGAAUUCCUCUCCCUUUCUUUGAAUGUAUAAUCACAUUUUGAGAAAACACGAAAUCUCAGGGUCUUACAAAAUCCAACAGGGGAACGUGUCAUCUUUAAAUGACAAGCUGUGUGGGGAGUACUCUGGUUAUGAAUUAGGCUGUUUUUCCUAGUACUGCAAUUUCUUCUUGCUGCCAUUUCGAUGGUGUUGAAAGCCCUUUCUCCAGACUUGUAAGUUGGUGGUCCACUACUGAAUGGAAAGAAAUCUGGUUUUCCAUAUGUUCUCACUCAUAGGUGGGAAUUGAACAAUGAGAACACUUGGA
rnacentral:lncRNA from 10 species